UUGAGCCUACCAGARGUCGUUGCGAUAACCGUAAGGAGUCAGACGCCCAAGGUAGGAUCGAUGAUUGGGGUGAAGUCGUAACAAGGUAGCCGUAGGUGAACCUGCAGAAGGAUCA
rnacentral:rRNA from 1 species